rnacentral:rRNA from 1 species
CCUACGGGAGGCAGCAGUGGGGAAUAUUGGACAAUGGGGGCAACCCUGAUCCAGCAAUGCCGCGCGAGUGAUGAAGGCCUUAGGGUUGUAAAGCUCUUUCGCACGCGACGAUGAUGACGGUAGCGUGAGAAGAAGCCCCGGCUAACUUCGUGCCAGCAGCCGCGGUAAU